rnacentral:rRNA from 1 species
CCUACGGGGGGCAGCAGUGGGGAAUAUUGGACAAUGGGCGAAAGCCUGAUCCAGCCAUGCCGCGUGUGUGAAGAAGGCCUUCGGGUUGUAAAGCACUUUCAGUGGGGAAGAAAGCCUUGGGGCUAAUACCCUCGAGGAAGGACAUCACCCACAGAAGAAGCACCGGCUAACUCCGUGCCAGCAGCCGCGGUAAUACGGGGGGUGCGAGCGUUAAUCGGAAUUACUGGGCGUAAAGCGCGCGUAGGCGGUCUGAUAAGCCGGUUGUGAAAGCCCCGGGCUCAACCUGGGAACGGCAUCCGGAACUGUCAGGCUAGAGUGCAGGAGAGGAAGGUAGAAUUCCCGGUGUAGCGGUGAAAUGCGUAGAGAUCGGGAGGAAUACCAGUGGCGAAGGCGGCCUUCUGGACUGACACUGACGCUGAGGUGCGAAAGCGUGGGUAGCAAACAGGAUUAGAUACCCGGGUAGUC